rnacentral:lncRNA from 1 species
GCUUCAGUAACUUGUUUUGUUGCUACUGCUAUUCGCCCAAUUCCAUCAACUUCACCAUCAGAAUUUGCAGGGGAUGAACUGUUCUUCAGUGGAUCAGAUUUAACUAAACGUUGCUUCUCACGACUAGCAAUCUCUUCUUUUAGGAGUCUGUAUUCUAUCUUCUUAUCUUCUGGUAGAGCCUCUGGAGUUCUCAUUGGAUCAUUUUCUUUUUCUGAUUUUGGAGGGGCUUUGAUUCUUGAAGCCUCAACAUUUCUCCUUGCUUCUUUUAUCAUAGAUUCUAGUCCUCCAAAUACACUGUUUGUUGAGUUAGAUGGCUCUCCAUCAGACUCACUAUCAUCUGAAUCAUUUAACGUAACCACAACAGAUUUGUGUUUUGGAAGUGUGAUCACUGCUCGUGGAGGCCUUGGUACUCUAACAAACUUUGUAUUUUGUACCCGUGGCUGAGAUACAGUAUUAAUACUGACAGCAGACAGAUUGCUUCUUGGCACAGAUUGCAAAUUAUCUGGAACAGGAGGGGAAGGAGGACCGCUGUUACUUGAAGUUUCCUCAGAUCUGAAAGCCCGUUUGUUAGCUAGAGACUUAAGUAAUUC